CCCAGAGGUAUUGAUAGGUGAAGUCAUCCGUAAGGUUGACUGACUUGAAUUACACCAACCUGCGCAGAUGCGCAGGUUUUUUUU
rnacentral:sRNA from 1 species